rnacentral:rRNA from 1 species
GGAGCGAACAGGAUUAAGAUACAUGGUAGUSCACGCCGUAAACGAUGAGUGGUUAAGUGUUUAGGGGGGUUUCCGCCCCUUUAGUGCUGCAGGUAACGCAUUUAAGCACUCCGCCUGGGGGAGUACGGUCGCAAAGACUGAAACUCAAAAGGAAUUGACGGGGGCCCGCACAAGCGGUGGAGCAUGUGGUUUAAUUAGAAGCAACGCGAAGAACCUUACCAGGUCUUUGACAUCCUCUGACAAUCCUAGAGAUAGGACGUCCCCUUCGGGGGCAGAGUGACAGGUGGUGCAUGGUUGUCGUCAGCUCGUGUCGUGAGAUGUUGGGUUAAGUCCCGCAACGAGCGCAACCCUUGAUCUUAGUUGCCAGCAUUCAGUUGGGCACUCUAAGGUGACUGCCGGUGACAAACCGGAGGAAGGUGGGGAUGACGUCAAAUCAUCAUGCCCCUUAUGACCUGGGCUACACACGUGCUACAAUGGACAGAACAAAGGGCAGCGAAACCGCGAGGUUAAGCCAAUCCCACAAAUCUGUUCUCAGUUCGGAUCGCAGUCUGCAACUCGACUGCGUGAAGCUGGAAUCGCUAGUAAUCGCGGAUCAGCAUGCCGCGGUGAAUACGUUCCCGGGCCUUGUACACACCACCCGUCACACCACGAGAGUUUGUAACACCCGAAGUCGGUGAGGUAACCUUUUAGAGCCAGCCGCCGAAGUGACGUUACCCACCCCAU